AGGCUCAACUUCGGGCCUGCAGUGGUACGGGCAGACUAGAGUGCGGUAGGGGAGAUUGGAAUUCUGGUGUAGCGGUGGAAUGCGCAGAUAUCAGGAGAAACACACGAUGGCGAAGGCAGAUCUCUGGGCCGUAACUGACGCUGAGGAGCGAAAGGGUGGGGAGCAAACAGGCUUAGAUACCCUGGUAGUCCACCCCGUAAACGUUGGGAACUAGUUGUGGGGUCCAUUCCACGGAUUCCGUGACGCAGCUAACGCAUUAAGUUCCCCGCCUGGGGAGUACGGCCGCAAGGCUAAAACUCAAAGGAAUUGACGGGGACCCGCACAAGCGGCGGAGCAUGCGGAUUAAUUCGAUGCAACGCGAAGAACCUUACCAAGGCUUGACAUACACGAGAACGCUGCAGAAAUGUAGAACUCUUUGGACACUCGUGAACAGGUGGUGCAUGGUUGUCGUCAGCUCGUGUCGUGAGAUGUUGGGUUAAGUCCCGCAACGAGCGCAACCCUCGUUCUAUGUUGCCAGCACGUAAUGGUGGGAACUCAUGGGAUACUGCCGGGGUCAACUCGGAGGAAGGUGGGGAUGACGUCAAAUCAUCAUGCCCCUUAUGUCUUGGGCUUCACGCAUGCUACAAUGGCCGGUACAAAGGGCUGCAAUACCGCGAGGUGGAGCGAAUCCCAAAAAGCCGGUCCCAGUUCGGAUUGAGGUCUGCAACUCGACCUCAUGAAGUCGGAGUCGCUAGUAAAUCGCAGAUCAAGCAACUGCUUGCAGGGGUGG
rnacentral:rRNA from 1 species